UGUCGAGUGCCUUUGGUUUCAUAUUCUACACGGAAUCUGGGUGAGUUGCAUCGUGAGUCAAAAUCAUUCAAAUACUACUUCACAGCAGCGAUUAGAGAAGUUGAAAUGGAACAGUAACUAAGAUGAUGUAGUUUAUAGAAACGCUAAACAACUUUGUGAUGUUUGCAUGCCUACAGUACAGAUCACUUUAGGAAUAACCCGAUUUUUAGGCCUAGCUCUGUAGCAAACUGAAGCCAUGCCGUAUGGAGUUUGUUUAGGGGCAGAAAUAUCACUUGUAAAAAUGAAUACUAAUAAUAAGGUUUAAAGCAUUAAUUGCUAAAAUAUUUAAUCUUAAUUUGUUUAGUAGAUAGAAGUGUUAUAAACAUUCCACGUGUUUCUGCACUGCGGGUCACGUGAGAAAGCCUUGAAAAAAAUGUUCUUGUGCAGACAUUGGGAGACAGCAUCAGUGUUUAACGUCACCAAUUAUCAAAUGCGCAAUUUUCUCACUUUGUAGCAUCUGUGGAAAAAGUAACAAGUACAUUGCAAACUUUUAUUUUGUAAUUUGCUUCAUGGCAACUCAUGCCCGUCUGCCUCCGUUUUUGUUACAGGUAAAUAAACAACUACAAUAAACAGAGUUAUGUACUGUUAAAUUAGUCACAUAUGUAUGUAAAGAAAAAACAAUAUUCUAGUAUGGUUCCUUACCAGAAUUAAUUUAGAUUUGUCAGGAAGGGAAACAUAUUAAAACGAGGAGGGAUACUUUUUAAUAUUGUCAUAGGUGUUUGUGCUGCUUAAACUUUUUAAAAAAUGUGUGUUCCAGCUGCUGGAGCAGUUAAAGGGUUAAUGCUGAUGUAUGUUAUGUGGACAACACCAAAGUAAUGGUCCUGUUGGCACAGUCAGCUGAACUCAGGUUUGGAACCAGACCUGUGAAUGCAGAUUUCCUUUUAUUCAGCAAAUGUGAGCAUGGUUUAAUAUUGAUUAUGAUAAUUACAGUUAAUAGAUUUAUGAAACCCCUUUUAAAGCCUUUGUGUUGUCCAUUCAUUGCAUUUUCCAGAUGAAUGAGGCGUCUAACAAGGCAUACAGUGAUUCCUGAGUAGGCUUUCCUUCAGGAACUGAACUGUGUGUCUUGUUCCAAGUUACCUAGCAAGGACAGUGACCUUUCAACAGUUAUGUUGUUGUAAAUCAAAUUGCAUGGUGUUGAUGCAGUGAUUUGACUGAAUUCAAAAUGUGAUUCUUACUAGCGAAGGUAAUGUCCAAUGGUUAGUUGUGAUGAAUUGCACUUCUUGUUCCUGGGAUCACACAUGGAGGUUUGACAGUCACCUUUCUGGAGGCCUUGUAAUUGAUCAGAUAUUAGGUGGAUGGGAAUUGAUUGCUGCAGUGCAACAUAAUUUCAAGCUUUAAUCAUCUUGUCAAUAAAAAAUGAAAUAAAGUAACUUGUCUCUU